AGCGGGCCUUUUUUAGUGAAGUAUAAGCACUAAUAUCUAUAAUAUAUAUCACUAGAGAGGAAAUACCAACAUAAAAUGUAAUACGGUCGUCACAUCAAGCUUCUAAUAUUGCGGCAUUUUUGCCUUAAAUUAGGUAUUUUUGUGCAUGAAAAUGGCUAAAAGUAUCAACAUUACAGUAGUAUUGGCCAUUAGAGAAGCGCAAACAAAGUAUCAGUAUCGUGGCCACUGAUUGGCUCAGCCCCAGGAAGCAUUACUAUAUUGGAUCAAAAGAGUGUAAAUAUGACUAAAAUUUGUUAUUUCCUGUCGAGGGGGCUUACAUCAUUUUGAAAAAUGUGGGCGGUGACAUAACAAGUCGUUUAGGUGUUAAUUCAUUAACAGCUGAGUCAGCUUGAGCUUGCCAAAUAGUGAUCCCCACUCAUUGACACCGUGCAAGUGUUUACAAACACGUCAUUAAUGAGACAUUUGGACUAACCUUACAACAUGUUAACAGGCGUGCAAGAGGUCGGCUCACUAUUUGGCAAGUUCCACCUUGCCACAGUUGCUAUUAUAGCUUUAAAACUGUAUUUAAAUACCGUGGUCAUUUGGAGGUUCUGCCGUAAAAGAGGGCCUUUUUUAGUGAAGUAUAGGCACUAAUAUCUAUAGUAUAUAUCACUAAUGAGGAAAUACCAACCUAAAAUGUAAUACAGUCGUCACAUCCAGCUCCUACAAAAGCCAAAACCAGUGAAGUUGGCACGUUGUGUAAAUGGUAAAUAAAAACAGAAUACAAUGAUUUGCAAAUCCUUUUCAACUUAUAUUCAAUUGAAUAGACUGCAAAGACAAGAUACUUAACGUUCGAACUCAGGCCACUGCAUCAAAAGGCGACAUCAGUGUGUAAAGGACAUCACCACAUGGGCUCAUGAACACUUCAGAAAACCACAGCCAGGAACGACAGUUCGUCGCUACAUCUGUAAGUGCAAGUUAAAACUCUACUAUGCAAAGCCAAAGCCAUUUAUCAACAACACCCAGAAACGCCGCCGGUUUCGCUUGGCCCGAGCUCAUCUAAGAUGGACUGAUACAAAGUGGAAAAGUGUUCUGUGGUCUGACGAGUCCACAUUUCAAAUUGUUUUUGGAAACUGUGGACGUCGUGUCCUUCAGAACAAAGAGGAAAAGAACCAUCCGGACUGUUAUAGGCGCAAAGUUCAAAAGCCAGCAUCUGUGAUGGUAUGGGGGUGUAUUAGUGCCCAAGACAUGGGUAAGUUACACAUCUGUGAAGGCGCCAUUAAUGCUGAAAGGUCCAUACAGGUUUCGAAGCAACAUAUGUUGCCAUCCAAGCAACGUUAUCAUGGACGCCCCUGCUUAUUUCAGCAAGACAAUGCCAAACCCUGUGUUACAACAGCGUGGCUUCAUAGUAAAAGAGUGCGGGUACUAGACUGGCCUGCCUGAAGUCCAGACCUGUCUUCCAUUGAAAAUGUGUGGCGCAUUAUGAAGCAAAAAAUACGACAAUGGAGACCCCGGACUGUUGAACAACUUAAGCUGUACAUCAAGCAAGAAUGGGAAAGAAUUCCACCUGAGAAGCUUCAAAAAUGUGUCUCCUCAGUUCCCAAAUGUUUACUGAGUGUUGUUAAAAGGAAAGGCCAUGUAACACAGUGGUCAACAUGCCCCUGUGACAACUUUUUUGUUGCUGCCAUUAAAUUCUAAGCUAUGAUUAUUUGCCAAAAAUAUCUUGUCUUUGCAGUCUAUUCAAUUGAAUAUAAGUUGAAAAGGAUUAGCAAAUCAUUGUAUUCUGUUUUUAUUUACCAUUUACACAACCCGCCAACUUCACUGGUUUUGGGUUUUGUAAUAUUGCGGCUUUACCACAUCGCACUUUUUUUUUAAAGCAUAUUUCGCAAAUUUUUUUCCCUUAAAUUAGGUAUUUUUAUGCAUGAAAAUGGCUAAAAUUAACUAAAAGAGUCAACUUCACAGUAGUUAUCGUGGCCACUGAUUGGCUCAGUGUUACUAUAUUGGAUUAAAAGAGCGUAAAUGUGACUAAAGUUUGUUAUUUCCUGUCAAAAGGGCUUUCAUCAAUUUGAAAAAUGUACUUAGAAGGUCUCGCUAUGAAAUAUUACAUUUAUAAUGAAUGAUUUUUACUUCAAAUUCAUGUAUCUAGGCCAUGUCCGCAACCAAUUAGCAGUGACAAAAGAGGGAUUACUGUAUAUUAUUUCAUAAAUGGUGGUAUUGUAAAACGGCUAUUUAAUUGUGUACCUUACAUGAACGAUGCGUUUUCUAUUUGUGCACUCUUACCUCGCAUACAGUCGUCACUCCAAAGUGCCUUGAGGGAUUGUUUCCAUGUGAGUUAUGUCUCCUAUUACCUCCAACUGGUUUGUUUUGUUUUGUGGCGCUGUGUGUAUUUAUGAUUGAAACAAAAAAGAAAUAUGUCAACCGAGUGUCAGUAAUAAUGUUUUUUGUUCUUUGUACAUGUUUCACAUUGCUGUGUGUCGAUGGACUUGUCACACAUUAUUGGUGACAAUUAUGUGUGUGUCAUGUUGCCCUGGAGCACAUCUUGACCUCCCUUUUGUCAAGCACGGUAAAUAAUUAGUUAUUUUGACUAGGAAUUGGACCAUAAUAGACGGCAUGGGAGCAAACACGACUCCGGCGGGAGAUGAGAGAAAGUUUGUUCCUGCAUGGGGAGAAAAAGAAAAAAAAAGUAGAUUAUGUGAUUGGAAGCCGUGUUCGAAUCAAUGACGCACAAGAAAGUGGACUGUUUGUGUUGCAACAAAAGCACAAGAUGUGUUUCUAGAAGUGUGUCGUUGCAACUCGGCAGCUUUGUUUUCUGCUGGAUCAUCACAUUUUGUACAGUUGUAAAAUAAAUGAUUUUUAAACAAUUACAAA